SSMGGGWGMGAGCGUUGUCCGGAAUCAUUGGGCGUAAAGGGCGCSYARGUGGCCCGGUCAGUCUUUGGUGAAAGCGCGGGGCUCAACCCUGCGUCGGCCAGGGAUACUGCCGCGGCUCSAGCACUGUARAGGCAGGCGGAAUUCCGGGUGUAGCGGUGGAAUGCGUAGAGAUCCGGAAGAACACCGGUGGCGAAGGCGGCCUGCUGGGCAGUUUAGCUGACACUGAGGCGCGACAGCGUGGGGAGCAAACAGGAUUAGAUACCCUGGUAGUCCACGCCGUAAACGAUGGGCACUAGGCGCUUGGGGGAGCGACCCCCCGAGGGCCGGCGCUAACGCAUUAAGUGCCCCGCCUGGGGAGUACGGCCGCAAGGCUG
rnacentral:rRNA from 1 species